CUUUACUUUUAUCCUGAUUGUUAUCUGUUGCAAGUUGUAAGUUGGUGCCCAACAAUAGAUUGUGUUUGUUUUCGGUUUAAAUUGAAUAACUUGCAUGUUUGAAGUGAAAUAAAACGCAGGCCACACAUUUUUAUACACAAAUUUCGGCUGCCGUAAAUCGGUUCAAUAUCGGGCACAUCAUCAUCAUUUGCAACCGGAAGUCGUGGUACUCCCUGGCCAAAAUCCGGCACAGAUCUUUGAGCUUUGUUUCCAAUGCAACAGUUUAAAUGCAGUAUCGUCAAUAUCACAGUUAUUUUGAGAGUAUUCGGUGGUCUGCAGAAAUACAUAAAAUCGGAACGUGUGAAUGGUCGAUCAGUACAGUUUCCCGAUAGCGAUUCGAAUCACUUACAAUUUCAUUGUGCAUGAGUACAACUAAACAUAAUUUGAACACAUAAAAAGGAGAUUACGAAAUGAGGCUGAACGUAUAGGAUCGAGAAAAAAUAAAAACUUUGUGAUUACAUCGAAUGGCAAUGUUCUGUGCAUAUAAAUAAACAAAAAUCAGAAAAAAAUGACAAUAAGUACAAAGAAAACAAGUGAUUUAAUAAUGUGUGUAUAGGUGUUGCGUACGGUAUACGAUUUUGUUGAAUGAAACCAGCAUUUAUUCUACUCACUAAUCCAUUUCAAUUUCGUAAAUUAUUCGUCAAGACGCUUCACUUUCUUUGCUAAUAAAAACGCGUCGAAUUGUUAUAUUACAACACGCCGAGCUAGAAGACCACCCAUCAUGAAUCAAUCGCAUGCCGAUCAGAGACAAAUUAAAAAGGAUGCUCUGAAGGCCAAACGAAAUGAUUCGACCAAGAACUUUCUCGUCAUUUCGAAGUCCAUCCAGACCAUUAUCCAAUUAAGUCGAAACGGUGCCUUCAGAUCAACAAGCCUGCAUAUGUUGAAGAUCGCUGGACAAAAUGAAAUUGAAGGAAAGAUUUUCGAAUUGUUGAAUCGCAACUAUUCAGAAAAUCAAAAUUAAUUGGAUGUUCCAUGUACCAUCCUUUGUAAAGUUGUUAAUAAAGAAUGGAUUACU